AUUGAACGCUAGCGGCAGGCCUAACACAUGCAAGUCGAACGAGUGGCGGGCGCGGGUGUAAUGUAUGGGAAAACGACCGAAGUAGGGGGAUAAAAAUUGGAAACGGUAGGUAAUACCGCGCACAAUCUUGGGUGCGCCGAUGGGAUUAGCUUGUAGGUGGGGUAACGGCUCACCCAGGCGACGAUCCCUAGCUGGUCUGAGAGGAUGACCAGCCACACUGGAACUGAGACACGGGCCAGACUCCUACGGGAGGCAGCAGUGGGGAAUAUUGGACAAUGGGCGCAAGCCGGAUGCAGCCAUGCCGCGUGUAUGAAGAAGGCCUUCGGGUUGUAAAGUACUUUCGGCGGGGAGGCGUUACCCGCAGAAGAAGCACCGGCUAACUCCGUGCCAGCAGCCGCGGUAAUUC
rnacentral:rRNA from 1 species